UGAUAAAAAUAUAUGAGAAUAUGAGAAUGAAUUUCAGCCUUUGGAUUAAAAAUUAAUAGCUUAGAUUAAAGUGUGCUUCUCUUUUUCCUAUGUACCACAUCUCUUCUCCUUCCUCUUCUUCUUCCAGCCUGCAAAUACAACAAAAAAUCACUUCACACGGUUUCACCCACACCGGCCAAGCAAAGUGUUCACACCUUCGAACCACCUCCGCUCCGGUUGCCACCGCCCACCAUAUUCGUCUUGCUCUCUCUCUCGCUCUGCAGAACUAGUAAUAAUAUGAAGAGAGAGAGGUAGAGAUCGAGAUGCAGCGAAAACGGCAACCAAACAACGGCGGCGAACAACGACGAAGAACGGCGAGAGAAGGGUAGAAAGAUGCAGCGAAGGAAUAAGGACGAUGAUCCAGUUCUAGUCGCCGGAGAAUUGCACGGUGGGAGCGGGAGAGGAAGAAUAAGAGUAUUUUUUUUUUGAAACAAGGAAGAAGAAGAGAUAGUACGGAGAAGAAAGAAAGAAA